rnacentral:misc_RNA from 1 species
UUUCCGUAGGUGAACCUGCGGAAGGAUCAUUACCGGAUCGAAAGACUCCUAUAACCCCUGUGAACUUACUACAAAUACGUUGCUUCGGCGGGUGCCCCGGGUCUCCCGGGGCGUUCAGCCCGCCGGCAGCCUUCAAAUUCUGUUUCUUUGCGUUGGCAUCUCGAGUAUACAAAAAUAAGUUAAAACUUUCAACAACGGAUCUCUUGGUUCUG